rnacentral:rRNA from 1 species
GACGAACGCUGGCGGCGUGCUUAACACAUGCAAGUCGAACGGAAAGGCCCUGCUUUUGUGUGGUUCUCGAGUGGCGAACGGGUGAGUAACACGUGAGUAACCUGCCCUGGACUUUGUGAUAACUUCAGGAAACUGGGGCUAAUACCGGAUAGGAGCUCCUGCUGCAUGGUGGGGGUUGGACAGUUUCGGCGGUUGGGGAUGGACUCGCGGCUUAUCAGCUUGUUGGUGGGGUAGUGGCUUACCAAGGCUUUGACGGGUAGCCGGCCUGAGAGGGUGACCGGCCACAUGGGGACUGAGAGACGGACCAGACUCCUACGGGAGGCAGUAGUGGGGAAUAUUGCACAAUGGGCGGAAGUCUGAGGCAGCAACGCCGGGUGUGGGAAGCCGGCCAUCGGGUUGGAAAGCGCAUUAGCCUGUGACCAAGCGUGAGUGACGGUAAUGGGUAAAGAAGCACCGGCUAACUACGUG